rnacentral:rRNA from 1 species
UACGUAGGUCCCGAGCGUUGUCCGGAUUUAUUGGCGUAAAGCGAGCGCAGGUGGUUUAUUAAGUCUGGUGUAAAAGGCAGUGGCUCAACCAUUGUAUGCAUUGGAAACUGGUAGACUUGAGUGCAGGAGAGGAGAGUGGAAUUCCAUGUGUAGCAGUGAAAUGCGUAGAUAUAUGGAGGAACACCGGUGGCGAAAGCGGCUCUCUGGCCUGUAACUGACACUGAGGCUCGAAAGCGUGGGGAGCAAACAGG